GGCCAGACUCCUACGGGAGGCAGCAGUGGGGGAUAUUGCACAAUGGGGGAAACCCUGAUGCAGCGACGCCGCGUGGGUGAAGAAGCGCCUCGGCGCGUAAAGCCCUGUCAGCAGGGAAGAAAAUGACGGUACCUGAAGAAGAAGCCCCGGCUAACUACGUGCCAGCAGCCGCGGUAAUACGUAGGGGGCAAGCGUUAUCCGGAUUUACUGGGUGUAAAGGGAGCGUAGGCGGCCUGCCAAGUCUGAUGUGAAAUACCGGGGCUCAACCCCGGGACUGCUCUGGAAACUGCGGCGCUGGAGUACGGGAGGGGCAGGCGGAAUUCCUGGUGUAGCGGUGAAAUGCGUAGAUAUCAGGAGGAACACCGGCGGCGAAGGCGGCCUGCUGGACCGUGACUGACGUCGAGGCUCGAGAGCGUGGGGAGCAAACAGGAUUAGAUACCCCCGUAGU
rnacentral:rRNA from 1 species